rnacentral:rRNA from 1 species
UUGAUCCCGCCGGAAGCGACCGCUAUUGGAGUUCGAUUAAGCCAUGCGAGUCGAGAGGGUUCGGCCCUCGGCAUACUGCUCAGUAACACGUGGAUAACCUGCCCUGUGCUCCGGGAUAACCUCGGGAAACUGAGAAUAAUACCGGAUAGUCCACCACGCCUGGAACGGUGGGUGGAUCAAAGGUCACGGCACAGGAUGGGUCUGCGGCGUAUCAGGUCGUAGGGGGUGUAAUGGACCCCCUAGCCAUUGACGCGUACGGGUUGUGGGAGCAAUCGCCCGGAGAUGGAUUCUGAGACACGAAUCCAGACCCUACGGGGUGCAGCAGGCGCGAAAACUUCACACUGCAGGAAACUGUGAUGAGGGAACUCCAAGUGCAUGCACAAUGUGUAUGCUUUUCCUUACUCUUAAUCGGUUUGGGAAUAAGGGCUGGGAAAGACCGGUGCCAGCCGCCGCGGUAAUACCGGCAGCUCAAGUGGUCGUCGCUUUUAUUGGGCCUAAGACGUCCGUAGCCUGUUUGGUAA